rnacentral:rRNA from 1 species
AAUCGAACUCGGAGAUAGCUGGUUCUCCCCGAAAUAGCUUUAGGGCUAGCCUCAUAUUAGAUACCCGGAGGUAAAGCACUGAAUGGCCUAGCGCCCGAGAGGGUAGCGAAGCCUAUCAAACUAAGAAUGCCGGAGUAUUGAUGUAUGGGAGUCAGACAGUGUGAGAUAAAUCUCAUUGUCAAAAGGGAAACAGCCCAGAUCUACAGCUAAGGUCCCAAAUUGUAUCUAAGUGGAAAACGAUGUGGAAAUACGCAGACAACCAGGAUGUUGGCUCAGAAGCAGCCACUCAUUUAAAGAGUGCGUAAUAGCUCACUGGUCGAGCGUCUCUGCGCGGAAAAUUUAACGGGGCUAAGAUACAAACCGAAGCUUAGGCUGCACGUAAGUGCGGGGUAGGGGAGCGUUGUGUAAGCGGAGAAACAGUAGCGUAAGCGGCUGUGGAGUUUACAGAAGUGAGAAUGCCGGAAUGAGUAGCGCGAAUGUGGUGAGAAUCCACAUGGCCGGAAACCUCAGGUUUUUGGAGGAAGGUUCGUCCGCUCCAAGUUAGGCGGGAGCUAAGGUAAGGCCGAAAGGCGUAGCCGAUGCACAGACGGUAGAGAUUCCGUCCCCACCGAAAGAUUUAAGCACAGGGACACUUUUUGAAGGUCGGAGCCAGGUGUUGGUUCUGGUAGUGAUCGAGGGAAAUAUAGUACCGAAGUCCGGCUGGAAGAGAGGCGAGAAAAGCUGUGUGUAUAUCUAAGGUGCCCGUACCGCAAACCGACACAGGUAGGUAGGAAGAAGAUUCUAAGGCCAACGGGAGAAGGGUUGUUAAGGAACUCGGCAAGUUGACCCCGUAACUUCGGAAUAAGGGGUGCUCACGAGAGUGAGCCGCAGAGAAUAGGCCCAGGCAACUGUUUACCAAAAACACAGGUUUGUGCUAAAUCGAAAGAUGACGUAUACGAGCUGACGCCUGCCCGGUGCUGGAAGGUUAAGAGGAGAUGUGCAAGCAUUGAAUCGAAGCCCCAGUGAACGGCGGCCGUAACUAUAACGGUCCUAAGGUAGCGAAAUUCCUUGUCAGGUAAGUUCUGACCCGCAUGAAAGGCGUAAUGAUUUGGGCACUGUCUCAACAGCCCGCCCGGCGAAAUUGUAGUACCGGUGAAGAUGCCGGUUACCCGCGACAAGACGGAAAGACCCCAUGGAGCUUUACUGUAGCCUGAUAUUGGGUUUCGGUGUUGCAUGCACAGGAUAGAUGGGACGCUGGGAAAGAAGCGCUUUGGCGUUUCUGGAGCGGACGUUGGGAUACCAUCCUUGCGACAUUGGAAUUCUAACCUGCGCCUCUGAAUCGAGGCGGGGGACAUUGUCAGGUGGGCAGUUUGACUGGGGCGGUCGCCUCCUAAAAAGUAGCGGAGGCGUUCAAAGGUUCGUUCGAUCUGGACGGAAACCAGAUGAUUGAGUGCAAACGCAUAAACGAGCCUGACUGCGAGACUGACGGGUCGAGCAGAGACGAAAGUCGGAGUUAGUGAUCCGGUGGUAUGUGAGUGGAAAUGCCAUCGCUCAACGGAUAAAAGCUACCCUGGGGAUAACAGGCUGAUCUCCCCCAAGAGUCCACAUCGACGGGGAGGUUUGGCACCUCGAUGUCGGCUCAUCGCAUCCUGGGGCUGAAUUCGGUCCCAAGGGUUUGGCUGUUCGCCAAUUAAAGCGGUACGCGAGCUGGGUUCAGAACGUCGUGAGACAGUUCGGUCCCUAUCUGUCGUGGGCGCAGGAUAUUUGAGAGGCGCUGUCCCUAGUACGAGAGGACCGGGAUGGACGAACCUCUGGUGCACCAGUUGUCACGCCAGUGGCACAGCUGGGCAGCUAUGUUCGGAUCGGAUAAACGCUGAAAGCAUCUAAGCGUGAAGCCGGCCUUAAGAUAAGAUAUCCCACUGAGUCAAUCAGGUAAGACCCCUUGA